rnacentral:rRNA from 1 species
AGAACGAACGCUGGCGGCAUGCCUAAUACAUGCAAGUCGAACGAACUCUUCGGAGUUAGUGGCGCACGGGUGCGUAACGCGUGGGAAUCUGCCCCUUGGUUCGGAAUAACAGUUGGAAACGACUGCUAAUACCGGAUGAUGACGAAAGUCCAAAGAUUUAUCGCCAAGGGAUGAGCCCGCGUAGGAUUAGCUAGUUGGUGAGGUAAAGGCUCACCAAGGCAACGAUCCUUAGCUGGUCUGAGAGGAUGGAUACGAGCCACACGUGGGACUGAGACACGGCCCAGACUCCUACGGGAGCAGCAGUAGGGAAUAUUGGACAAGUGGGCGAAAGCCUGAUCCGAGACAAUGACCGCGUGAGUGAUGAAGCCUUAGGUAUAAAGCUACUUUACCGAGUAUGAUAAGUGACAGUAGUACGGA